rnacentral:rRNA from 1 species
CACGUAGGGGGGCAAGCGUUGUCCGGAUUUAUUGGGCGUAAAGAGCUCGUAGGCGGCUUGUCGCGUCGGUUGUGAAAGCCCGGGGCUUAACCCCGGGUCUGCAGUCGAUACGGGCAGGCUAGAGUUCGGUAGGGGAGAUCGGAAUUCCUGGUGUAGCGGUGAAAUGCGCAGAUAUCAGGAGGAACACCGGUGGCGAAGGCGGAUCUCUGGGCCGAUACUGACGCUGAGGAGCGAAAGCGUGGGGAGCGAACCGG